UUUUUUUUUUCUCCGGUCACUUUCUUCUUUUUCAGAGAACGAAUUUGAUUUUGGGUUUUCAGAUCUGGCAGUGAUUUUCAGAGCGCAAUCAUCAAUCAUGGUGGUUAUCGUUUGUUGAAUUAUAACAUCAUCAAAAACCAGAUCUCGUCUUCUCGUCGAUCGCGCUUUGUAAUAGGCUAUCUCCGUUAACAGCAUCAACGCCAGGUUGCUUUAGUAAAAGGUGCUCUAAAUAAACUAGGAAUCCGUGUUUGUAGAAGGAAGUUGAGUACAGUGUAUGAGAACCAUCCAAAGUUCAACUUGUCACAACACGCUAGUGCUCUUGAUGGAUUCUCAUGUCAAGAUAGGUUUUUAAGCUCAAGUUUCCUUUACUCAUUGCUCACACAGAAACCUAGUUAUGAAGGAGCACCAGGUGCUGCAAGUUGCAGCUUCUCGAUGCACUUCAAAACAACAUGAACAGUUGCAGCUUCUCGACUACACCAUAACUAUGGUUCGAUGGUUGUGUAUGAAGUGCAUUUAGAAAUCGCGAGAGAAUUUUUU